UGCGAGGUGAAGACCUCGGCGAACUGCUCCNUAANNNNNAGCCAACCUACCGUUAGGAAGGGGAUANNNUCGAGAAAUUGAAGCUAAUACCCUAUAAGUAUCAACUUCUGGAAUGAGUUGAUGCUCAAAGCUACGGCGCCUAACGAUGGGACUGCAUCCUAUUAGGCUGUUGUCUGUGUAAAGAACAAACAAACCGAUAAUAGGUACGGGCUAUGGAAGUAGGAGCCUGGAGAUGGACUCUGAGACAUGAGUCCAGGUACUAUGGUACGCAGCAGGCGUGAAACCUUUACAAUUCGCUAACGCGAGAUAAGGGAACCUGGAGUGUUCUUGCUUUGCAAGAACUUUUGCCUUCUGAAAACAGGAAGGUGAAUAAGGGCUGGGUAAGACGGGUGCCAGCCACCGCGGUAAUACCCGCAGCCCAAGUGAUAGCCAGGAUUAUUGGGUCUAAAGCGUCCGUAGCCGGUUUAACAAGUCCUUAGUGAAAUCUUCUAGCAAACUAGAAGGCUUGCUAUGGAUACUGUUAAACUUGAGACUGGGAUAGGGUAGGGGUACUCCUAGGGUAGGGGUGAAAUCUUAUAAUCCUAGGAGGACCACCUGUGGCGAAAGCGCCUACCUGGAACAGGUCU
rnacentral:rRNA from 1 species